rnacentral:snRNA from 1 species
UCAUCUAAGCCCAUUAUUUAGAU